rnacentral:rRNA from 1 species
UUGAACGCUGGCGGCAUGCCUUACACAUGCAAGUCGAGCGCGAAAGGGGGCAACCCCGAGUAGAGCGGCGGACGGGUGAGUAACGCAUCGGAACGUGCCCAGUAGUGGGGGACAACCUCGAGAAAUCGAGGCUAAUACCGCAUACGACCCACGGGUGAAAGCGGGGGACCGCAAGGCCUCGCGCUAUUGGAGCGGCCGAUGUCCGAUUAGCUAGUUGGCGGGGUAAGAGCCCACCAAGGCGACGAUCGGUAGCUGGUCUGAGAGGACGACCAGCCACACUGGGACUGAGACACGGCCCAGACUCCUACGGGAGGCAGCAGUGGGGAAUUUUGGACAAUGGGGCAACCCUGAUCCAGCCAUGCCGCGUGCGGG